GACGAACGCUGGCGGCAGGCCUAACACAUGCAAGUCGAACGAGUGGCGGACGGGUGAGUAAUGUCUGGGAAACUGCCUGAUGGAGGGGGAUAACUACUGGAAACGGUAGCUAAUACCGCAUACCAUCAGAUGUGCCCAGAUGGGAUUAGCUAGUAGGUGGGGUAACGGCUCACCUAGUCGACGAUCCCUAGCUGGUCUGAGCGGAUGACCCGCCAAACUGGAACUGAGAAAGGGUCCAUACUCCUAGUGGAGGCAGCGGUGGGGAAUAUUGCACAAUGGGCGCAAGCCUGAUGCAGCCAUGCCGGGUGUAUGAAGAAGGCCUUCGGGUUGUAAAGUACUUUCAGCGGGGGGGCGUUACCCGCAGAAGAAGCACCGGCUAACUCCGUGCCAGCAGCCGCGGUAUUC
rnacentral:rRNA from 1 species